rnacentral:tRNA from 1 species
CAUUAGAUGGCUGAAAGCAAGCACUGGUCUCUUAAACCAUCAUAUAGUAAUUUAGCAAUUACUUCUAGUG